GAUGAACGCUCGCGAUAGGCUUAACACAUGCAAGUCGAGGGGCAGCAUGGUCUUAGCUUGCUAAGACUGAUGGCGACCGGCGCACGUGUGCGUAACGCGUCUGCAACUUGCCUCACAGAGGGGGAUAACCCGUCGAAAGACGUACUAAUACCGCGUACACUCCAUCUUGGGCAUCCAAGGUAGAGGAAAUGAAAUUCGCUGUGAGAUAGGCAUGCCUCCCAUUAGCUAGUUGGUGAGGUAACGGCGGACCAAGGCGACGAUGGGUAGGGGAACUGAGGGGUGGAAGCCUGACAGGGGGACGGAGAACAGGGAGAGAGAAAUACGGGCGGCAGCAGUGAGGAAGAUUGGUGUAGGGGAGAGUGCCUGAACCAGCCAAGUCGCGUGAAGGAAGACUGCCUUAGGGAUUAUAAACUUCUUUUAUACGGGAACAUUAAGAGUCACGGGUGACUGACUGCAUGUACCGGAUGAAUAAGCACCGGCUAACUACGUG
rnacentral:rRNA from 1 species